rnacentral:rRNA from 1 species
GACGAACGCUGGCGGCGUGCUUAACACAUGCAAGUCGAACGGAAAGGCCCUGCUUUUGUGGGGUGCUCGAUUGGCGAACGGGUGAGUAACACGUGAGUAACCUGCCCUUGACUUUGGGAUAACUUCAGGAAACUGGGGCUAAUACCGGAUAGGAGCUCCUGCUGCAUGUUGUGGGUUGGAAAGUUUCGGCGGUUGGGGAUGGACUCGCGGCUUAUCAGCUUGUUGGUGGGGUAGUGGCUUACCAAGGCUUUGACGGGUAGCCGGCCUGAGAGGGUGACCGGCCACAUUGGGACUGAGAUACGGCAGAGACUCCUAAGGGAGGCAGAAGUGGGGAAUAUUGAACAAUGGGCGGAAGCCUGAUGAAGCAACGCCGCGUGCGGGAUGACGGCCUUAGGGUUGUAAACCGCUUUCGCCUGUGACGAAGCGUGAGUGACGGUAAUGGGUAAAGAAGCACCGGCUAAAUAAGUG